GUGGUAAGAUCAAAUAACAUUAAUUAAAGCAUUUAGAAUAAUGCUUGGCACAUAGUAAGAAUUUAAUAAAAGUUAAUUAUUAUUUAUCUUUUUCCUACCAGGUGCAACAGAAUAUCUCUCCUCUCCUCUCUCUCCUCUCUCUCCUCUCCUCUCUCCUCUCUCUCCUCUCUCUCCUCUCUCUCCUCUCUCUCUCUCCUCUCUCUNNNNNNNNNNNNNNNNNNNNCUCCUCCCCCUCCCUUCCUCCCUCUUUCUCCUCUCAGCUAAUUUCAAUACCACGGAAAUCUUGUCUUCAGUUUUACAGCCUGAGAACAUGAUUUCUAGCAAGGGUCUGGCAUCAUCUGUGUACUUGCACACCAGGUGUGUCAUCAGCGUGGCAGUGAUAACAGCACCUUGGGAAAUACAAUAAAGAAACUUUGCCAUUUGGGCCACUUCCAGGAAAGUUUCAGAGGCAUAAGAGAAAGAACUAAAACUACAAAGGCAUUAAAAGAAGAUUAACUUAUAAAGAAGCCAGAGUAACCAGCUUUCUUAUUUAUAAUUAUCCAAAACAUUAAACUCACACUACUAAGGAUAUAGGGUUUGAAGGCUUGCUGAGAAUCUUAGAACAAUGAAAUGAGGAAAAGAGUUCACUCUCAUCAAGCUUAUAGCCAAUGAGGAAACGAUCCAAUUAUGAUUGUAUUUGCUGUGUGGACAUUAUUAGAGCCCAGGGGAAGAGUGAUGCCCUCGGGAUGGGAAGGCCUCGGUUGGCGUGGACCUUCAGCCCAGCUCUGGAAGGGCAAGUAGAGAAGAGAGAAAGGCUGUCCUCACAGAGGACACAGCAAGUGCAAAAGCAAACUGCUACAGAUAAUCUACACACUGCCACCUGCACCAAGUCCCUCUGCAGGAAUCUUGCAGGGACACCACACUGCUUUUGACAAAAGGCAACAGUGGCUCUCAGCAGCGUCCUUCUUCCAUCGCAACAAAAAAACUAUGGUUAGGUCAUGAUAAAAAUGGUAGUGCUGUUUGGGAGAAGUCCACUGUAUCCUCCCUUAAUGAGUUCAGAG
rnacentral:lncRNA from 1 species